GAGUUUGAUCUUGGCUCAGAUUGAACGCUGGCGGCAGGCCUAACACAUGCAAGUCGAGCGGAUGACGGGAGCUUGCUCCUUGAUUCAGCGGCGGACGGGUGAGUAAUGCCUAGGAAUCUGCCUGGUAGUGGGGGACAACGUUUCGAAAGGAACGCUAAUACCGCAUACGUCCUACGGGAGAAAGCAGGGGACCUUCGGGCCUUGCGCUAUCAGAUGAGCCUAGGUCGGAUUAGCUAGUUGGUGGGGUAAUGGCUCACCAAGGCGACGAUCCGUAACUGGUCUGAGAGGAUGAUCAGUCACACUGGAACUGAGACGCGGUCCAGAUUCCUACGGGAGGCAGCAGUGGGGAAUAUUGGACAAUGGGCGAAAGCCUGAUCCAGCCAUGCCGCGUGUGUGAAGAAGGUCUUCGGAUUGUAAAGCACUUUAAGUUGGGAGGAAGGGCAGUAAGUUAAUACCUUGCUGUUUUGACGUUACCGACAGAAUAAGCACCGGCUAACUCUGUGCCAGCCGCCG
rnacentral:rRNA from 1 species